rnacentral:rRNA from 1 species
AGUGAACGCUGGCGGUAGGCCUAACACAUGCAAGUCGAACGGCAGCACAGUAAGAGCUUGCUCUUACGGGUGGCGAGUGGCGGACGGGUGAGGAAUACAUCGGAAUCUACUUUUUCGUGGGGGAUAACGUAGGGAAACUUACGCCAAUACCGCAUACGACCUACGGGUGAAAGCAGGGGAUCUUCGGACCUUGCGCGAUUGAAUGAGCCGAUGUCGGAUUAGCUAGUUGGCGGGGUAAAGGCCCACCAAGGCGACGAUCCGUAGCUGGUCUGAGAGGAUGAUCAGCCACACUGGAACUGAGACACGGUCCAGACUCCUACGGGAGGCAGCAGUGGGGAAUAUUGGACAAUGGGCGCAAGCCCGAUCCAGCCAUACCGCGUGGGUGAAGAAGGCCUUCGGGUUGUAAAGCCCUUUUGUUGGGAAAGAAAAGCAGCAGGUUAAUACCCCGCUGUUCUGACGGUACCCAAAGAAUAAGCACCGGCUAACUUCGUG